AUGAACGCUGGCGGCGUGCCUCAUACAUGCAAGUCGAGCGAACAGAUGAGGAGCUUGCUCCUCUGACGUUAGCGGCGGACGGGUGAGUAACACGUGGAUAACCUACCUAUAAGACUGGGAUAACUUCGGGAAACCGGAGCUAAUACCGGAUAAUAUAUUGAACCGCAUGGUUCAAUAGUGAAAGACGGUUUUGCUGUCACUUAUAGAUGGAUCCGCGCCGCAUUAGCUAGUUGGUAAGGUAACGGCUUACCAAGGCAACGAUGCGUAGCCGACCUGAGAGGGUGAUCGGCCACACUGGAACUGAGACACGGUCCAGACUCCUACGGGAGGCAGCAGUAGGGAAUCUUCCGCAAUGGGCGAAAGCCUGACGGAGCAACGCCGCGUGAGUGAUGAAGGUCUUCGGAUCGUAAAACUCUGUUAUUAGGGAAGAACAAAUGUGUAAGUAACUAUGCACGUCCUGACGGUACCUAAUCAGAAAGCCACGGCUAACUACGUG
rnacentral:rRNA from 1 species